UGAUCGAGAGGUCUUCGGUGGGACGAAGGCCAGGAAUAGAUCGCUUGCUCCCGGUCAUAAGCAUCCGUCCCGCGGCCCGGGCGGAACGAG
rfam:Loktanella sp. 3ANDIMAR09 PM07_022, whole genome shotgun sequence.